UAUUAUAGAGUUUAAUAUUGAAGAUAUUAAGGAGAUAGUUUUAUCUUUAAAUAAUUUAUAAAAAAAU
rnacentral:tRNA from 1 species